GUCCCUGCUGCGCUUGAAGAAGAACAGCAGGACGUACUUCUACUCCAGCUUCCUGGCCUACAUCUUUGGACUUGGACUGACUAUCUUCAUCAUGCACACCUUCAAACAUGCACAGCCCGCUCUGCUCUACCUGGUCCCAGCCUGCGUCGGCUUCCCUGUCAUUGUUGCUUUGCUUAAGGGAGAGCUCAUCGAGAUGUUCAGGUACGAGGAGUCCUCAGCUGAGGAGGCGGGGCAUAAAGAGGAGAAGAAGGACCAAUAACCUGCAUCCCUCUCCCUCCCCCCAAUGUAAAGAUCCAGCCUGACAUCACAUUUCACUGAAGCCCCGCCCCUUCACCCUGUUGCUGGGGGCGGGGCUUUCAUCACCAGCACUUCUCUCUGGUGGAGUCUGGCUGGUCUUCAUGGUAACGGCUGACUUAUUCAGGCUGUUGUAUUCCCAUCAUCCAUCUGCGUGUUUAUCUACAAACGAGGCCAGACAACUCUGCUGUCUUGGCUCCGCCCCUGAGUGGCUCUGCCCUAAAUUUAGCGAUUUAUCUUCCACACUCCCAGUGAUGGACAUGGGACAGGAUGUGACCUCAUUGGCAGCUUUAACAAAUCUGGUGUUCCUGGUUCUGAACGAGUGCCACACCCCUCACGGCUCAGCUGCAGAUUCCGGCAUUCCUCACGUUCACGCUCGUGUCAUUAAUGUCAAAGGUCAAAUUUUUGUAAGUUAAAAGCUUGACUCUUUUGUUUUUGUUUAAAACUGUAAUUUCUUUAUGAUGUGGACAUCGUGACUUGAGCAGCAAUCUCAUCAUUAAAGUAUCUAACC